rnacentral:other from 12 species
UUCACGCAGAAAGCGUCUAGCCAUGGCGUUAGUAUGAGUGUCGUGCAGCCUCCAGGACCCCCCCUCCCGGGAGAGCCAUAGUGGUCUGCGGAACCGGUGAGUACACCGGAAUUACCGGAAAGACUGGGUCCUUUCUUGGAUAAACCCACUCUAUGUCCGGUCAUUUGGGCGUGCCCCCGCAAGACUGUAGCCGAGUAGUGUUGGGUCGCGAAAGGCCUUGUGGUACUGCCUGAUAGGGUGCUCGAGAGU